GUAGGUAAGACAGGUAGGUAAGACAGUUAGAUAAGACAGGUAGGUACAGACAGGAAGGAGAAGACAGGUAGGUAAGACAGGUAGGUGAAGACAGGUAGGUAAGACAGGUAGGUGAAGAUAGGUAGAUAAGACAGGUAGGUAAGACAGGUAGGUAUAGACAGGUAGGUGCAGACAGGUAGGUGAAGACAGAUAGGUAAGACAGGUAGGUAAGACAGGAAGGUGAGACAGGUAGGUAUAGACAGGAAGGUGAGACAGGAAGGUGAAGACAGGUAGGUAAAACAGGUAGGUGCAGACAGAUAGGUGUAGACAAGAAGGUAAGACAGGUUGGUGCAGACAGGUAGGGUAUGGUGAUGUUUGAUAGGUAGGGCUGGAAGGUGAAUGGAGACAGACAGAUGGGAAUCAUAUGAAGCUGUGUUGACCAAUGGGCAGCCAGAUCCAGGACAUCGCUGGGAUCUAGUCCCGUUAGUCUGAAGCCAUCUCAGGAAGGUAAUCAACGUCAUUAGAACAGUUAGUGAACAUUAGUGAUCAGGACCUCUGUGUGCUCACUGUGAGCACCAACUGGUGGUCAGUCUUUUAUUU